rnacentral:lncRNA from 1 species
CAGGCCCAGCACAUGGAAGACAUCUGGAUGCCCGUCACCACCACCGAGGUCCCUGGGCAAGCAGUUUACCCAGCACUCUCAGGAGCAUGAACUGCAUUCCCACUGCCAGGGUCUUAUCUUCUUUCUUCACACCUCUGCCAGGAAAGACAUGGUCAUGUGAGGAUGGACUGAGAGACUCAGCCCCAGCGCCAAGCAGCAGCAGGGUUUCAGUAGGUCCUGCGUGAUGCCUGCAAUGUGAUGGGUCGAGCAGCCAAUGAAGAAGAGCGGCACGCUGAAGACCAGACACAAGAGCGAGCCGAGGAGGCAGAGGGCACUGCACUGCACGGGGCUCAGGUGGA